rnacentral:lncRNA from 1 species
ACUUCAUCUUCAUCGGGAUUAGCCUCACUUCCUUCUAUUGAAGGAACUUCAGUUUCAAUUUCACCAUUUCCAGGUUGUGUGAGACUGAAUCUUGUUAACUUCAACUCACUUUGAGGAGUUCUAUUUAUUUCAAGUUCAUAAUCUUAUAAACUUUAUGUUUAAGACAUGGCAUUUCAAAUUCAUUAAAGACAACAUUUCUGUUAUUAAUGAUUUUAAUGCCUUGUACCUGUAGCACCCAUAGCCUGUACCUUUUCACCCCUUCGGGAUAACCUAACAUAACAUAUUUGGUGGCUCUAGGGUCUAAUUUUCCCUCAGUUUGGUAAGUGUAUUCAGCACAUUCAAAAACUCUAAUAUGUGCUAAAUUAGGAGCUUUACCAGUCCACAGUUCCUGUCGGGUUUUAAACCCUAUAGAACUACAUGGUGACCUAUUUAUAAGGUAAGCAACAGUACACUUUGCCUCAUCCCAAAAUCCCUUUGCAAGCCCAGAGCUUAUUAACAAUCACCUAACCUUGUUCAUUAAGGUCCUAUUCAUUCUUUCAACGACCUCAUUUUGUUGCGGGGUGUGCUUUAUAGUUUUGUGUCUAACAAUUCCUUUUUGGUUACAAAAGUUGUCAAAUUCAGCACUGCAAAAUUCCAAUCCAUUAUCAGUCUUUAAGGUUUUCGGCUUCCUAUCAAGUUGAUUUUCAACCAUCCUUAACAAGGUUUUAAACUUUUGAAAUGUUUAAAAUUUAGCUUUUAAAGUAUAAACCCAUACUUUUCUAGAUUAGCCAUCAACUAAAGAUAGGAAGUAUCUAUUCCCACCAAAGGUGGGAUGACUCUUUGGUCCCCACAGGUCUGAAUGAACAUAGUCUAGAGGUCUUCUAGUAGUUUGUGACCCUGCUUUAGAGCUGACUGUAUGAGACUUACCCAAGAUACACGUUUCACAGAAAUCAAGAGGCUCAAUUAUAUCUUUCCCAAGUAGUCUUUGAUAACCUAGAUAUUUCAAGCUAUUGUUUCUAAUAUGCCCCAUUCUAUUAUGCUAACGUGUAGAUUUGUUUUUGUUACAAUAAGGGAACUAGGGCUAUUUGUAGCAAUAGUCUCCCCCAAAAAGGUGGUACAAACCAUUUCUGUUGGGUCCUUUUAGGACAACUAAGGAUCCCUUCAUCAUUUUCAAGAUGAUGAUGUCAGAUUCAAACAUAUGCCCCUCAUCUUCGAGAAUUCCUAGUGAGAUGAGGUUUCUUUUCAGAUUUAGGACAUACCUGACAUUCUUGAUUGGUCUAACAAUGCCAUCAUGCAUUUUGAUAGCAAUGUCACCCAUCCCAACUACAGUUUGAGUAUUAUUUUCUCCCAUAUACACCUUUCUAUGUUCUAUGUCUUUGUAAUUGUAGAACCAAGACUUAACAGAGUCUGAGAUCCAGUCCUUAUUGACUUUCCCACUAGACACAAUUAUAACAUGUAGACUAUUCAAAUCAAGACCUGCGGAGUUAUUCAACUCAGCAUUGUUAUGAUCAUUCCGUUUUCUUUUAAAAUCAUAACAAUCCUUUUUAAAUUGUCCUAGUCUGCCACAAUGAUAGAAUUUUUUGUUGCUUUUGUCUCUGGACAUAGACCUUCCUUUUGACUUUCCCUUUUUCUAUAUUGAAAAUUGUUCUUUCUUUUCUCUAUUCUCCCCCUUAUGAACAUACUUUCUUCUCUAAAGUUAAACACUUUUUUGACCUUUAACUCUCUAGAUCUUAAAGCAUCUAUAACUAUAGCUUAUGUCAACUUAUCCCUUGAGUAUUUUUGGCAUUCCUGACAUGUUUAUAAGAUUUAGGUAAUGAGUUUAAUAAAAUGACAGCAAGAUCCUCAUCUUCAAAUUUAUUUUCAUUUUGUGCAAGACUUUUAACAAUGAUACUAAAUUCACUUAGGUUUGUUUCUAAAUGCUUUCUAGUAUCCAUUCCAAAACUAAACAAUUUUUUCAAGAGAGAUUUUAUUGGUAGAGUCUUGGUUUAGAACAAAUAUCAAAGGCUAUCCACAGAGUUCUUGCAGCUUUUGCUUCAUCAACUUGUCUUACUAUAUCAUCAGAUAACUGCAGAAAUAUAAAGCUAUAUGCAAUUUCAUUCAUGUUCUCAAUCUCAUCAGGUUUUGCUUUAACUUCUGCAGAAAAAGUUUCAAGGUCAUCAAGUGCUUUUGCAACCCUUUGUCGGACCGAAAUGACCCUAAUUUUCUACUUCAAUAUAGAGUAAUCUCUAUUUCCAUCGAAUUGUGAUAAUUCAACCUUCGAACUCAUAACAAGUUCUAUAAAAGAAUGGAUAUUGCUUGUGGACAUUAGUGAUCUUUAAUUCAAGGUCACUUAACAGCAGAAAAGGUUUUAUUAAAACACUUUUUCAAUUCUUUAAAGAAAAACAAGAAGUGAACAAUGCAGGCUUAUAUUCAAUCAAGAAAUUAUCAAUUGCAACAAUAGCAAAUAAUGUGGCACUUUCUUCGAUUAUCAAAUGAUCAUAAAAUUAAUUUAGGGUUCCAAGAAUGAAGCAUGCUCAUAUAUCAAAUAGAUCAAUCAUGUAAGUGCUGAUUUUAAAAAGCAUACAGAGAGCAAUUUAAAUAGAUGCAGAAACAAUAUACUGUAAAAGAAAAUAAUAUGAGAAAUUCAAAACGAUCUCACGAAAUAUUGUUGUACAACAAUAUUUAACUCUAGAACCCCUUAAAAGAUUAUUUUUCAAGAGUCAACCAGCCAAGUUUGUGGAAUCGUAUCUUUUCACCUCUUAUUCUCACCUCACAGAUCCAAGAUUCCAAGUAAGUUUUUCGCAUCGGCGUGGAUCGAGAAAUAGAUUUUAAAAAAAAAAAUCACACAGGGUUUAACAAAGAAAAGGAAACCGCUUUAAAAUUUUAACCAGGAGCCCUAAGAAAGUGGCUCUGAUGCCAUAUGGUUAGGAUUUUCUCUCAAUCACAAUAGUUAACAAAACUAAAAAAUGAACAAGCACACAAGAAAACACAAUGAAAACACCAGAUUGUUCACCCAAUUCAACAGAAAUUGCCUAAUCUGAGGGCUCAAAGAUCAGCCCAAUAGCAAGUGCACAAAAGACGUUCAAGAGAGAGUAAAAUGUUCCAAGAAACCCUAAUUAGAACACGAUUUGACCCCUGAUCCAAAAGGAUCUCCUAAAUCGUGAACCUUAAUCAACACAAAGUACUGAAAACCACAACCUAACCACUAUAUAGGUUAUCGGCCGUUCUCACAGGCUAAAGAGUUACUGUAGCACCACUAGUUUCACAAAUUUCAGCAAAAGAUUAGGAUUUCAUGAGAGAUCUAAGAAAGGAUCAGAAGAAGACGAAGAAAGAAAACUAGAAAAUACUUAGAGAGAAAAACCAAUAGACUCUCAAAACCAAAAGCGAAAGAAUGAGCCAAACCGUCACCUUCUGGGAGGAUUUAGAACCAAGUGAUCAAUCUUAGCCAUUAAUCCAAAUCAAUGGUCCAGAUUCCUUUUCAACUAGCACAACUCAAGUGAAGGUUAAUCCACUAGUUAGGGGUAGCCAUGUGGCUUUCCAUAUCCAACCGAAUUAAUGUAUUAUAGAAAGAUCAUUUUAUCCUUCCAUAAGUUUUGUUUUGAGAAGCACGUUUUUUACAAUUCCUACUUCCUUUAAAAGAGAGAAUAGCCGAAUACUAUUAAUUCUGGUGGCCUCUUUUCACACUGAAUUCGGUUCCAUUAUUGUUCAACAACUAGCUUCUCACUCAUUAAAUUAUCUUCCACUGUUCAUUAAUAAAUAUUUGAAGUAAUUAUUUCUUGCCCAUUUUUCUUUGCCCUAUUUAUUCUCUCAAGUCCUUCAUCCUCCUCUUUUCCUCUCCUAUUCUUGAUCAUGUCUUUGUUGACAGAUUUCCCAAUUAAGAGCUUGUUGGUUGUGGUCGCCUCCACUUCUUUGAAGAGGCUCUCCAUUUCUCCUCCUCCACUCAAAGAAACCAUUGAUAAUCAAUCCGCCUCCACCAGAAGAAACCUUUUCUCCCUCCGUGUGAAGGCUGUGUGUUCUUUGGAUUUUCAAGUAGCAAUUGAAGAUCCAACCAUUCACUAGAUUCUAUGGGAAUAGUUUUAGCUCUUAGGCUUUUAUUUUUAUUUUUCUGCUAUUUUUUAAUUAUUUUUUAAUCUUUCUUUUCUUACCCC